AGAGUUUGAUCCUGGCUCAGGACGAACGCUGGCGGCGUGCUUAACACAUGCAAGUCGAACGAUGAAGCCUAGCUUGCUAGGUGGAUUAGUGGCGAACGGGUGAGUAAUACGUGAGUAACCUACCUUUAACUCUGGGAUAAGCCCGGGAAACUGGGUCUAAUACCGGAUACGACCAAUCUCCGCAUGGGGUGUUGGUGGAAAGCGUUAUGUAGUGGUUAUAGAUGGGCCCACGGCCUAUCAGCUUGUUGGUGAGGUAACGGCUCACCAAGGCGACGACGGGUAGCCGGCCUGAGAGGGUGACCGGCCACACUGGGACUGAGACACGGCCCAGACUCCUACGGGAGGCAGCAGUGGGGAAUAUUGCACAAUGGGCGCAAGCCUGAUGCAGCGACGCCGCGUGAGGGAUGACGGCCUUCGGGUUGUAAACCUCUGUUAGCAGGGAAGAAGAGAGAUUGACGGUACCUGCAGAGAAAGCGCCGGCUAACUACGUGCCAGCAGCCGCGGUAAUACGUAGGGCGCGAGCGUUGUCCGGAAUUAUUGGGCGUAAAGAGCUUGUAGGCGGUUUGUCGCGUCUGCUGUGAAAGGCCGGGGCUUAACUCCGUGUAUUGCAGUGGGUACGGGCAGACUAGAGUGCAGUAGGGGAGACUGGAAUUCCUGGUGUAGCGGUGGAAUGCGCAGAUAUCAGGAGGAACACCGAUGGCGAAGGCAGGUCUCUGGGCUGUAACUGACGCUGAGAAGCGAAAGCAUGGGGAGCGAACAGGAUUCGAUUCCCUGGUAGUCCAUGCCGUAAACGUUCCCACUAAGGUGGGGGGACAUUCCACGUUUUCCGCGCCGUAGCUAACGCAUUAAGUGCCCCGCCUGGGGAGUACGGCCGCAAGGCUAAAACUCAAAGAAAUUGACGGGGGCCCGCACAAGCGGCGGAGCAUGCGGAUUAAUUCGAUGCAACGCGAAGAACCUUACCAAGGCUUGACAUAUACUGGACCGCAUCAGAGAUGGUGUUUCCCUUCGGGGCUGGUAUACAGGUGGUGCAUGGUUGUCGUCAGCUCGUGUCGUGAGAUGUUGGGUUAAGUCCCGCAACGAGCGCAACCCUCGUUCUAUGUUGCCAGCACGUUAUGGUGGGGACUCAUAGGAGACUGCCGGGGUCAACUCGGAGGAAGGUGGGGAUGACGUCAAAUCAUCAUGCCCCUUAUGUCUUGGGCUUCACGCAUGCUACAAUGGCCGGUACAGAGGGUUGCGAUACUGUGAGGUGGAGCUAAUCCCUAAAAGCCGGUCUCAGUUCGGAUUGGGGUCUGCAACUCGACCCCAUGAAGUCGGAGUCGCUAGUAAUCGCAGAUCAGCAACGCUGCGGUGAAUACGUUCCCGGGCCU
rnacentral:rRNA from 1 species